UGGGACCACCUCCAUCCCUACUACCACCCAGUUUGCAAUUAGACCCUCCCCAGACCCUGGAACACAGCCUCGCGCAGCCACAAGCUCCAAAUGGCAGUGGAUGAAUGGCCAAGCCUGCAAUGAUGUCAACGGCCUGUGCUGAGGCCAAGGAAAAUAUGCGGGGGCCCGGGAUGGCUUCAUCCCUGGGCUUGUUGAAACGCAGCUGUGCGUCGUAAGUUUUCCAUCUGAGCAGACAGAGUACGGUAUAUCUGAAUUAGCCUCAGAACCUAGCAUGCUGUCUCCGGAAGCCUUGCCCCCUCCCCUGACUCCUCACUCUCCUUGAAGAACCACAAUUCUCCAAGCAAGUGGAGCUUGAAGGGGCUAGAGAUCGAAUGUGAGGUAGCUAGCGCUGCCGGUAACUUGGAGAUUUGGGGGAAGAAAGCUCGAAGUCCACAAGUUAUGGCAAUGCGGGGUGGGGGUAGGGGGCAGUGAGCAGGCAGGGCCAGGGGGUGUAAGAGACAGAAUUCUGGAAUUCUUGAUAUACUGCUGAGAGUAGAGACAGCUGUUUUGAUCAUUCAAGCUCCUAUGCCUACUUCUUCCUGAUUUAUGUAAGUCCUUCCAAGUUGUGGUUCCUGUUUUGAGGGGCAGAGGCUUGAGUUGCUUAAAAUCAUUGUUCCGGUCUUUCACUUGCCGCUCUCCAAGAAGACACGGCCAGCGGCGCUCUGAGCACCCUGCUCCUCCUUCAGGCUGCUGCUGGUGGAGCCAUCUCCAUGCAAACAUACUUCGGAAAAAGAAGAACCCUCCCAUGGCUGCUGGCCAUUCCACCUUGUGAUUGCAGAAGCAAAGCAUGGCUGGGCUUGAUCUCUGGAUGCCACAGAGUCCUCCCCAGGGUCCUGGGGGUGCUCGGAGACAGUUGGGCCUUUGACGUACAUCUCCAUCCCCUCUUCUGUAUCACCUGCCACCAUGAGAUGAUGCUGGGGCUUUAA
rnacentral:lncRNA from 1 species